rnacentral:rRNA from 1 species
GGUGAACGCUGGCGGUGGGCCUAAUACAUGCAAGUCGAACGGACGGACAGUAAGCUCUUGUUCUUGAGGGUAGCGGCUGACGGACGGGUGAGGCAUGGAUAAGCAACUUCUUUUUCGGGGAGGACUUCGUAGAGACGGUUCUGAUACUAGCGCAUAUUUUCUACCGGUUAGAUCAGAAGAUAAUCAGAGCUUUCGCGUUUCAUUGAGACGGCGCCGGAUUAGCUAGUUGGUAAGGUAACGGCACACCAAGGCAACGAUGCAUAGCCGACCUGAGAGGGUGAUCGGCCACACUGGAACUGAGACACGGUCCAGACUCCUACGGGAGGCAGCAGUAGGGAAUCUUCCGCAAUGGGCGAAAGCCUGACGGAGCAACGCCGCGUGAGUGAUGAAGGUCUUCGGAUCGUAAAACUCUGUUAUUAGGGAAGAACAUAUGUGUAAGUAACUGUGCACAUCUUGACGGUACCUAAUCAGAAAGCCACGGCUAACUACGUG